CAAGCAGUGAUGACCCCAACAUGCCAUCUGAGUUGCACUGCUGAAAUCUAGAGGCAAAAAAAUAAAUUA